AACGAACGCUGGCGGCAUGCCUAACACAUGCAAGUCGAACGAGACCUUCGGGUCUAGUGGCGCACGGGUGCGUAACGCGUGGGAACCUGCCCUUAGGUUCGGAAUAACUCCCCGAAAGGGGUGCUAAUACCGGAUAAUGUCUUCGGACCAAAGAUUUAUCGCCUUUGGAUGGGCCCGCGUUGGAUUAGCUAGUUGGUAGGGUAAAAGCCUACCAAGGCGACGAUCCAUAGCUGGUCUGAGAGGAUGAUCAGCCACACUGGGACUGAGACACGGCCCAGACUCCCACCGGGAGGAACAGGUGGGGAUUAUGAAAAAGGGCGAGAACCCUGAACCCACCCUGCCCGUGUGGGUGAGGAAGCCGUAGGGUUUAAAAACCUUUUUUACCGGGGAGGAUAAGGACAGUCCGGAGAAAAAAAACCCCGGCAACCCCCGUC
rnacentral:rRNA from 1 species